CGCAAAGUGGCCUCUGUAAGCAUAACAGAAAGCCCAAGCAAGCGCCCAGCGGAUAAGGCCACUGAAAUAGAAGGUGAAGUUUUUUUGGGGUGCGGCAAUUGGCAAACUGGUAAUGGCGUCACCAUCUACAGCGGCAACUCUCUCAUGGAGUUCUUCCUCUUGGCUUCACAGCUUUUGUGGACACUCUAAUGAAAUCUCCAAGUUGCCGGACAAAAGAAUGCCCAUGGUGAUUUGGGCUCAAAAGAAAGCCAAAAAGACCAGAAAGAUAAUAUUGAAAGAGGAUGUGACAGAUUUGGGGAAAAAGGGGCAAUUGCUCGAUGUGAAGGCUGGUUAUUACAGGAAUUAUCUUCUGCCCAUGGGCAAGGCCCAGAUUGUUACUCCUUCUCUACUAAAGGAAAUGCGGAUGGAAGAAGAAAGAAUUGAUGCUGAGAAAAAACGGGUAAAAGAAGAGGCACAGCAGCUUGCUCUUAUUUUUGAAACUGUUGGAGCUUUCAAGGUGAAGCGCAAAGGUGGAAAGGGCAAACAAAUAUUUGGAAGUGUAACUGCUCAAGAUCUUGUUGACAUCAUCAAGGCACAGCUUCAGAGGGAUGUGGACAAGCGAAUUGUUUCUCUUCCAGAAAUCAGGGAAACAGGAGAAUAUAUUGCUGAGCUUAAGCUUCAUCCUGAAGUUACUGCUCGGGUGAGGGUGAAUGUUUAUGCUAACUAAGGAAUAGCAUCUUUUGGAAGCCCACUCUCUUAAUGGAUGAUUUCUGUGAGCAACUUGCAUCAGGAUCAGGAGGACAUCAAAUGCAAUAUGAAAUUGAAUGAGACACCACUUGGAGAAUGAUGGGUGUUAGUUGUCUGAAAUCUUGUUUCUCUUCAUAAGAUGUGAUUUGCUGUUUCAUGUUCGUACUUCUCCUGUAGAAUGUUGUCAUGAAUUGUUCUCUACUGCUAUAUGUUUCUACUACAACAAUUUUUGGAAUUUCCAGCAUCUCUGUUUAUCCCCUUAUUAGUUGAAUUUGGUACUUAGAUUUUGGCAUUUGUUGAAGAAUCUCCCUUUAGACAUUGUCAUUGGCCAAGCAUACAUGGGUAUCUGUGCUUCUGAUUUGAUACAACUUGUAAAAGCAUGUAUAGUUUAAGGCUUUAAGCUGUCCAUUCUAACUUA